UCUCUGGGAGGUAAAAGGACUCCUGUCUCUUAAGCGAGAUGCCCUCUGUCCAGAUCCACAGCCUGCUACUUCCUGUCCCCUCUCGGGCCUGACUUCUGCAAGCACUUGGCACGCAGACCCUCGCUGACCACUCGGUUUCUGCCGCGUCCCUGGCACUCUCUUCGUAGAGGCCUCCCCUAGUCAGGAGCCCCAGCCCCUGCUCCGGUGGACAAGGGAGGGAGCCCGCACCUGGAACACCUUCGCCCCAUCCCCCCGGGUGACCGCAGCAGUUCCGUGGCGCGUCCUGGGAAAUCCUGCCGUGCCUUCCCCACAGCCCGCGGAGAAACGGGAGCCCAGGAGGUGCCCCGGUGGACUCGGCUCCCAGUCAGGCAGCCAGGGCAGCACAGAGGGGCUCCCUCCCCUGCAGACCUGGUCUCCCGGCUCCAGGUAGUGCAUUCUGAGGGGCCGUGGCUCUUUUGAAAAGGAUUCUGCUCCCCGCUGUGAGACUACAAGGCUCUGAAAGCAUCUUAAGAGCCAUCAAAAAAUUAAUGCGUUGACUUAGAAGUGAGACCAAAAUGUAAAGCCUGCUCCAGACUAAAAGAAACUCAGAAUCGUUUACAUCAGUAUGACUUAAUAGCCGGUCAUUGCAGAAUUGUUGCUUUUAUACAGUGUGGCAUUUACUUUAAUAGCAACUAUGAUAAUUGAUUCUAGGGCCUGGAUAAGAACAAAUUACUAAGUGCUAAUUGCAGAGAAUGAGAUAAAUAGCUUAUAAAUUAAAUAGUAGUGCCUGAGGAUGCCAUUCUCAAACUCGAACUCUACUCUCCAGCAAAAUAAUUUCUUCUUAACCUAUAGUUAGCCAUUUUUGCCUCUAGAAAUCGCACUUGAGCUGGACAUGGUGGCUUAUCCCUGCAAUCCCAACUAUCAGAAGGGUCACGGAUUCAAGUUCAGCCUGGGAAACUUAGCAUAACCCUAUUUUUAUUUAUUUAUUUUUCUGGACCA